AGCAGCCGCGGUAAUUCCAGCUCCAAUAGCGUAUAUUAAAGUUGUUGCAGUUAAAAAGCUCGUAGUUGAAUUUCGGGAUCAGUUCGCUGGUCGUGCCUUCGGUAUGUACUGGUGUUACUGGUUCCUACCUUCUGACGAACCGUCAUGUCAUUAAUUUGGUGUGGCGGGGAAUCAGGACUGUUACUUUGAAAAAAUUAGAGUGUUUAAAGCAGGCUCGCGCUUGAAUACAUUAGCAUGGAAUAAUGAAAUAGGACGUUCGAUCCUAUUUUGUUGGUUUCUAGGAUUGACGUAAUGAUUAAUAGGGAUAGUUGGGGGCAUUAGUAUUCAAUUGUCAGAGGUGAAAUUCUUGGAUUUAUUGAAGACUAACUACUGCGAAAGCAUUUGCCAAGGAUGUUUUCAUUAAUCAAGAACGAAAGUUAGGGGAUCGAAGACGAUCAGAUACCGUCGUAGUCUUAACCAUAAACUACGCCGACUAGGGAUCG
rnacentral:sRNA from 1 species